rnacentral:rRNA from 1 species
CCUACGGGAGGCAGCAGUGAGGAAUAUUGGUCAAUGGGCGCGAGCCUGAACCAGCCAAGUAGCGUGAAGGAUGACUGCCCUGCGGGUUGUAAACUUCUUUUAUAAAGGAAUAAAGUGAGGCACGUGUGCCUUGUUGUGUGUACUUUAUGAAUAAGGAUCGGCUAACUCCGUGCCAGCAGCCGCGGUAAUACGGAGGAUCCGAGCGUUAUCCGGAUUUAGUGGGUUUAAAGGGAGCGUAGGUGGGUUGUUAAGUCAGUGGUGAAAGUCUGCGGCUCAACCGUAAAACUGCAGUUGAGACUGGCAGUCUUGAGUACGGUUGAGGUAGGCGGAAUGCGUGGUGUAGCGGUGAAAUGCUUAGAUAUCACGAAGAACUCCGAUUGCGAAGGCAGCUUACUAAACUGCCACUGACAUUGAUGCUCGAAAGUGUGGGUAUCAAACAGGAUUAGAUACCCGAGUAGUC